rnacentral:rRNA from 1 species
AACGAACGCUGGCGGCGUGCCUAAUACAUGCAAGUCGAGCGAGCGGAACUAACAGAUUUACUUCGGUAAUGACGUUAGGAAAGCGAGCGGCGGAUGGGUGAGUAACACGUGGGGAACCUGCCCCAUAUUCUGGGAUACCACUUGGAAACAGGUGCUAAUACCGGAUAAGAAAGCACAUCGCAUGAUCACCUUUUAAAAGGCGGCGUAAGCUGUCGCUAUGGGAUGGCCCCGCGGUGCAUUAGCUAGUUGGUAAGCUAAAGGCUUACCAAGGCGAUGAUGCAUAGCCGAGUCGAGGGCCUGAUCGGCCAGCUUGGCAGUGAGACACGGCAGCAACACCUACGGGAGGCAGCAGUCGAGAAUCUUCCGCGAGGGACGAAAGUGUGAUGGAGCACAGCCGCGUGAAUGAAGAAGCUUUUAGGAUCGUAAAGCUAUGUUGUUGGUAAGGAAGGAUAGAGGUAGUAACUGGCAUUUAUUUGACGGUAAUCAACCAGUAAGUCACGGCUAACUACGUG